rnacentral:rRNA from 1 species
UUGGAGGGCAAGUCUGGUGCCAGCAGCCGCGGUAAUUCCAGCUCCAAUAGCGUAUAUUAAAGUUGUUGCAGUUAAAAAGCUCGUAGUUGAAUUUCGGGAUCAGAGUGUCGGUCGUGCCUCGGUACGCACUGGUAUUAUUGGUUCCUACCUUCUGAAGAACCGCGAUGUCAUUAAUUUGGUGUCGUGGGGAAUCAGGACUGUUACUUUGAAAAAAUUAGAGUGUUUAAAGCAGGCUUACGCUUGAAUACAUUAGCAUGUAAUAAUGAAAUAGGACGUUUGAUUCUAUUUUGUUGGUUUCUAGGAUUGACGUAAUGAUUAAUAGGGAUAGUUGGGGGCAUUAGUAUUCAAUUGUCAGAGGUGAAAUUCUUGGAUUUAUUGAAGACUAACUACUGCGAAAGCAUUUGCCAAGGAUGUAUUCAUUAAUCAAGAACGAAAGUUAGGGGAUCGAAGACGAUCAGAUACCGUCGUAGUCUUAACCAUAAACUAUGCCGACUAGGGAUCGGAUGAUGUUAAUUUUUUAAUGACUCAUUCGGCGCCUUACGGGAAACCAAAGUGUUUGGGUUC